CCCUAUGUUGUAAAACCACGUUGCCUCGGGGGUGACCCGGCCUCGGUCGGCGCCCCCGGUGGACCACUCAACUCUGCAUCUGAGCGUCUGAGUCAAUUUGUUAAUCAAAUUAAAACUUUCAACAACGGAUCUCUUGGUUCCGGCAUCGAUGAAGAACGCAGCGAAAUGCGAUAAGUAAUGUGAAUUGCAGAAUUCAGUGAAUCAUCGAAUCUUUGAACGCACAUUGCGCCCCCUGGCAUUCCGGGGGGCAUGCCUGUUCGAGCGUCAUUACACCACUCAAGCCUGGCUUGGUAUUGGGCGACGGGGAUUCCCCGCGCCUUAAAUUCGCCGGCCGGACGGACCGAAUCUCAGCGUUGUGAUACACCUCUCGCUCUGGGCACUGGGCAGCGUACGCCGCAACCUUUCUUCUCAGGUUGACCUCGGAUCAGGUGGG
rnacentral:rRNA from 1 species